CCCCGAGUUGCUUUUGGCCAUGGUGUUUCAUUACAGCAACAGUAGUAACACUAAGACACUUGACUUUGGUUCUGAAAAGGUUUCAGUAUUGAAUGCGCCACCUCUCUUACGCAGUUUAAGAAGCCCUCGGCUAUCUGGAAGCUUUCCGACACCUGUACACCAUGGAUACUUCUGAAAAGCACACAGCAAAGAUUGGUGUGAAGAAGCUAGGCCUUGAAGGAUCCUUCCCUGGGAGGCUAAGCAGGAGCCCGGCAGCUCUGAAUCUCCUCUGGCAAGCACAGACUCCAUGGAGAGUCCUCUAAACCACUUCCGGCAACAGCACAGGGCACAGUCGCUACAGCUCUGGGCCAUGUCACGAACUCCUGCCACCACAGGACAAGCUACUGCAGCCUGCAUGCCUUCUUCCGGACUAUGGCUUCCCAUCAAGACGGACCAUCCCACUGACACUGUACAGAGACCCUCACCACCUUAUUUUGCUGCUGUUCGGUUCUUUUUCAGAGUGAUGAGAAUAUUAACAAGUGAGCCAUUGUAAUUAGACAAAGCAGUGGCAGCGUUAGGCCUCAGGGCUCCACCCCAUUCUUGGGUCAGGGUGAUGCCAUUAGAAAAGGGAGAAUUCGCCACUCCCACCCUGCCUUUUCUUGCCUCUAUGUCCGCUGCGUGAUAACACAG
ensembl:lncRNA